rnacentral:rRNA from 1 species
AUUGAACGCUGGCGGCAUGCUUUACACAUGCAAGUCGAACGGUAACAGGCCGCAAGGUGCUGACGAGUGGCGAACGGGUGAGUAAUGCAUCUGAACGUGCCCAGUCGUGGGGGAUAACUACUCGGAAGAGUAGCUAAUAUCGCAUACGAUCUAUGGAUGAAAGCGGGGGACCGUAAGGCCUCGCGCGAUUGGAGCGGCCGAUGUCAGAUUAGGUAGUUGGUGGGGUAAAGGCUCACCAAGCCAACGAUCUGUAGCUGGUCUGAGAGGACGACCAGCCACGCUGGAACUGAGACACGGCCCAGACUCCUACGGGAGGCAGCAGUGGGGAAUUUUGGACAAUGGGCGCAAGCCUGAUCCAGCAAUGCCGCGUGCAGGAAGAAGGCCUUCGGGUUGUAAACUGCUUUUGUACGGAACGAAACGGCUCUGGUUAAUACCCGGGGCUAAUGACGGUACCGUAAGAAUAAGCACCGGCUAACUACGUG